UACAGAGGUCUCAAGCGUUGUUCGGAUUCAUUGGGCGUAAAGGGUGCGUAGGCGGCGCGGUAAGUCGGAUGUGAAAUCUCGGAGCUUAACUCCGAAACUGCAUUCGAUACUGCCGUGCUUGAGGACUGGAGAGGAGACUGGAAUUUACGGUGUAGCGGUGAAAUGCGUAGAUAUCGGGAGGAACACCAGUGGCGAAGGCGACUACCUGGCCCAUUCUUGACGCUGAGGCGCGAAAGCUAGGGGAGCGAACGGG
rnacentral:rRNA from 1 species